ensembl:lncRNA
CAAGGGGACAAGGGGCAGCAGCCCGGAGACCUCGAGGGCCCUCACCCUCCUCUGAUGGCCUCUGAGAGAUAAUAUUGAGAGGUGUUUCAAUACCAAAGCAAAGAUCAAUAGGAUGUAUGCUUUUAAGUGGCUUGAGAAACCUGCUUGUCACCUCCUAGCCCUGGUGCUGCAGUGGCACUCUUCCCAUGGACAGCCUGUUCAGGGGAAGGGCCCCUGGCUGUGAUGGUGUCUCACAAUGCCUGUGUCUACCAGCUGCUGCUUGAAGGAUGAAAUGACAGCACGUAUUUGAUGUCCCCUACAUGCUCACCAGGCAGCUGGGCAGCACCCAUCCACUGGCAGGUUGGCUGUUAGCUGGGGGUGUACUGGUGUGAAGCUCGUGAUAUCAACGCAGAAACUGCAGGAAUGCCCUCGCUAAAGAGAUGCUGCUAGUUCCUCUUCUGGAAAUUGUAGCAAAGGCCAACAAUGCAUCACUGCCUUUAGCCUGGAGCCCCGUGUAUCACUGUAUCAGUGACCCUCGAGAGGAAAAGGCUGAUGUCUAUGACUUUCCCUUCCCUUCAAGAAAUGUUGAAAAAGUAAUUAAACGAAAGAAGAAGAAGACCCAAGUCUGGCUUAAAGUCUGGAAAGUAAUUUCAAAAAUGCUUGAAGAAAAUGAAAAGUUCAGACAUCGACUGUUGACUUGCAGUCAGUUCAAUGGAGAAAGCAAUGAUGCGAUCCAAGUACACAGAAGGAGGCACUCCCGCUGGACAGGGAGGAGUCCAUCUUUGGUUGGGUGUAGCAAGAAAAUAAAGGAAGAUUCAGGCCAAAAGGAAAUAUAAAACUAGUAAAAUUGUUUUCAUCUAUAUCUUACUAAAAUUAGUGGGAAGACUACAAAUGAUUCAGAUGAACAUUGUUUCUCUGUUUGUUUGGCACGUAUGUUUCUGCUGUUCAAUAGGUUUGUUUUUAGAGUGGCUUAAAUAGCUUGUUGCAAGAUAUUUGAAGUCAUUAAGUUUAAUAUUUCAUUUAGUUAUUCGUUUUUGAAAGCCUUUUAGUGAGCAUAGUAUUGUGACAGUUUGCUUGUAAAAGAAUAAAGAUGCACAUUUAGUGUUGAUGUCUAUUUUAUUGUUUUUUUUUGUAGCCUGUCAGAAUCAUAGACAUAAAUUCAGUAAAGCAGAACCCCAUGCAGAAUAUAGAAACA